CAUCACUCUCAGGGCGGGGCGAAAUUCCCCACCGGCGGUAUGCGGAGGGAUGCCCCUUCGCGAGCCCGCGAGCGCCUUGCGCCUCUUGGCGGAAGGGUCAGCAGAUCAGGUGCGAGGCCUGAGCCGACGGUCAUAGUCCGGAUGGAAGAGAGCAGCA
rnacentral:ncRNA from 2 species